rnacentral:rRNA from 1 species
GAUGAACGCUGGCGGCGUGCUUAAUACAUGCAAGUCGAGCGAACAGACGAGGAGCUUGCUCCUCUGACGUUAGCGGCGGACGGGUGAGUAACACGUGGAUAACCUCCCUAUAAGACUGGGAUAACUUCGGGAAACCGGAGCUAAUACCGGAUAAUAUAUUGAACCGCAUGGUUCAAUAGUGAAAGACGGUUUUGCUGUCACUUAUAGAUGGAUCCGCGCCGCAUUAGAUAGUUGGUAAAGUCACGGCUUACCAAGGCAACGAUGCGUAUCCGAACGGAUAGAGUGACCGGCCACACUAGAAGUGGGACACAGUCCAUAGUCCUGCGGGAGGCAGCAGUAGGCAAUGUGACGCAAUGGGGGAAAGCAUGACGGAACAACGCCGCGGGAGUGAUGAAGGUCUUGGGUGCGUAAAUCUCUGUUAGUGGGGGAGAACAAAUGUGGAUAUUACUAUGCCCGUCUUGACGGUACCUAAUCAGAAAGCCCCGGCUAACUACGUG